CAGUUCCUCAGCAUUCCUCUGAGUCAAUUCUUGCAAAUUCUUGAAUUGCUCCUCAAGAACUGCCAUCCUAACAUCAUCCUGUCCCACUACCACACUUCUCACCAUGUUGCGACACCCCUAGAGUGAAAUGGAAACAAAGCCCAGAUGCGUAGAGCUCUGAUACCAAUUGUUAGGGUUUUGGAAACCCUAACAGGGAAAUGGAGAAGAAAUAGAGAUGAGAGAGAGAAGCAGAAUAGGUAGAAGAGAAAUAGAGUUGAGAGAAGAGAGAGAGAU
rnacentral:misc_RNA from 1 species